rnacentral:rRNA from 1 species
GCGGCAGCGGGAAGUAGCUUGCUACUUUUGCCGGCGAGCGGCGGACGGGUGAGUAAUGCCUGGGGAUCUGCCCAGUCGAGGGGGAUAACUACUGGAAACGGUAGCUAAUACCGCAUACGCCCUACGGGGGAAAGCAGGGGACCUUCGGGCCUUGCGCGAUUGGAUGAACCCAGGUGGGAUUAGCUAGUUGGUGAGGUAAUGGCUCACCAAGGCGACGAUCCCUAGCUGGUCUGAGAGGAUGAUCAGCCACACUGGAACUGAGACACGGUCCAGACUCCUACGGGAGGCAGCAGUGGGGAAUAUUGCACAAUGGGGGAAACCCUGAUGCAGCCAUGCCGCGUGUGUGAAGAAGGCCUUCGGGUUGUAAAGCACUUUCAGCGAGGAGGAAAGGUUGGUAGCUAAUAACUGCCAGCUGUGACGUUACUCGCAGAAGAAGCACCGGCUAACUCCGUGCCAGCCGCCGCGGUAAUACAGAGGGUGCAAGCGUUAAUCGGAAUUACUGGGCGUAAAGCGCACGCACGCGGUUGGAUAAGUUAGAUGUGAAAGCCCCCGGGCUCCACCUGGGGAAUUGCAUUUAAACUGUCCAGCUAGAGUCUUGUAGAGGGGGGUAGAAUUCCAUGUGUAGCGGUGAAAUGC